UCUCUGGAAUUAUUGGUUAUUUUUAAAAGUCAAUUACUUAUUAAUUUUUCUCAUCAACUGUAUUAUCAAUUUCAAACUCUUUACUUCUCAAGGACACUAGCCCUUUGUCUGUAAUAGGAGGAACAAAGAGCAUAAACACGGGGCUAAUCAGUAAUGCUCUUGCCCACAGGUGUUUUGAUGAUUUCCCAUAAAAUUCUCAUCAAGGCAAGCCCUUCCCUCCCCACCCCUAUACUCCUCCCUGCUGUGCCCGGCGCUGUCUCCUCAGGUCACAGCAGCUUUCUGACUGUCCCUCGCUCAUUGAUUUUCUUCCCUGAGGCCUUUGUACUAGCUGUUUCCUCUUCCUGGAAUGACAUUUUCCCUUUGUCCUCCUGGUAAAUUCCUGCUCGUCUCCUCAAGGCCUGUGGCACCUUCUCCCACAAAAAGGCUACUUGACUGUCCUCAUAGCAUGGCUGCUGGCUUCCUCCAGAGUAAAGGAAGAGAAAGAAAAAACCAAGAGAAAGAGAAAGGAAAGAAACCACAUUCUGUUCAUCAGGAGCAACUUACUAAGUCCAGGCCACAAUCUAGAGGAGAGAAUUAAACUCGAGCUCUGGAAAGGAAGAAUAUAAAGCAAUUCAUGGACGUAUUUUGAAGUCAUCAAAGGCCAUGAAGGAAACUAGAUUCCUGAACUGCUGCCAUGGUCCUGUUCCCCCAAAUGUGGUGGGUGAUUAUGGGUUCAGUGAUGAUGGCAGGAGGAAGACCCACUUGACAAGACUGGAACUGGGAACCAGACGCAGUCAGCAAAGGUUAGGGGUACCUAAACCGAAGAGCAAAGGCAAAGUUGUGUCACUCCUGGGAUGGGGCUCUCAGGGGACCAGCACAGGGGAAGGGGCAGGAGCCAGGUGUAAGCAGUGUUCGCCAAAAUCCGAGCAGCCUCUUCAACAGGAGGAUCCAGGAGGGACAGGGCAGGCCCUGAGAGAAGGCAGUAUCCAGAGCUCUAGCCACAGGGGCUGAGACCCAGGCCCGUGGCAGAGCUGGACUACCCACUGGGCACCCUAAGAAUGUGCUUAGAGACCCAGCCCACCAGGGGCCUCUCACAAAACAAGAAAAUAUUCAGCUUCAGUGAGAGCUGAAUCAAAAUUUGGCAAUCCAAACAUUCCAAGUCAAGUCAUUAAAAUUUCAACACUUGUGUAAGUCUGUGUUUUAAGAGCUGGUAUAUUUUUUUCCUAUUUUUUAUUUAAAAUAAAAAAAGUUUUUUACA